UGCAUUUGGUGCCGUUGGUGAUAGAUCGGCAGAUGAUCGGCAGGAUAGGAUGUGAGCGUCUCCGGUCGCUGUCGUUGCCCUUUUUUUUUCUUACUUGGCUGCGUUUGGUGUGGCUGAUGCUGAUGGUGAUGGAUUGGCAGGUGAUGGGUGCCAAGAUUCUGUACCCCCCGUGCAUGGUGUCUGACUCAUGGAGGCCAAAGAAGUUCAAGAAUUUGAGAUCGCUUGAUAGCAGAUAGCACGGUGAUGCCGUGGACACUAAAGUUCCAAUCAAGGAUUUUUCUUAAAAAAACAGAUCUAUGUAUCAAUACUAACACCAUGUUUCACUUGGAAAUUUAGAGGUUCAAACUUCAUUACUUAUUGCAA